rnacentral:rRNA from 1 species
CCUACGGGGGGCAGCAGUAGGGAAUCUUCCACAAUGGGCGAAAGCCUGAUGGAGCAACGCCGCGUGGGUGAAGAAGGUCUUCGGAUCGUAAAACCCUGUUGUUAGAGAAGAAAGUGCGUGAGAGUAACUGUUCACGUUUCGACGGUAUCUAACCAGAAAGCCACGGCUAACUACGUGCCAGCAGCCGCGGUAAUACGUAGGUGGCAAGCGUUAUCCGGAUUUAUUGGGCGUAAAGGGAACGCAGGCGGUCUUUUAAGUCUGAUGUGAAAGCCUUCGGCUUAACCGGAGUAGUGCAUUGGAAACGUGGAGACUGGAGUGCAGAAGAGGAGAGUGGAACUCCAUGUGUAGCGGUGAAAUGCGGAGAUAUAUGGAAGAACACCAGUGGCGAAAGCGGCUCUCUGGUCUGUAACUGACGCUGAGGUUCGAAAGCGUGGGUAGCAAACAGGAUUAGAUACCCCAGUAGUC